rnacentral:snRNA from 1 species
UUGCUUCAAUAGCAUAUGUACUAAAAUUGGAAUGAGACAGACAAUUAGCAUAGCCCCUGUGCAAGGAUGACAUGCAAUAAGUGUUCUGUAUUUAA